GACGAACGCUGGCGGCGUGCUUAACACAUGCAAGUCGAACGGAAAGGCCCUGCUUUUGUGGGGUGCUCGAGUGGCGAACGGGUGAGUAACACGUGAGUAACCUGCCCUUGACUUUGGGAUAACUUCAGGAAACUGGGGCUAAUACCGGAUAGGAGCUCCUGCUGCAUGGUGGGGGUUGGAAAGUUUCGGCGGUUGGGGAUCGACUCGCGGCUUAUCAGCUUGUUGGUGGGGUAGUGGCUUACCAAGGCUUUGACGGGUAGCCGGCCUGUGAGGGUGACCGCCGACAGUGGGACUGCAAUACGGCCCAGACUCCUACAGGAGGCAGCAGUGGGAAAUAUAACACAAUGGGCGGAAGCCUGAUGAAAGAACGCCGCGUGCGGGAUGACGGCCUUCGGGUUGUAAACCGCUUUCGCCUGUGACGAAGCGUGAGUGACGGUAAUGGGUAAAGAAGCACCGGCUAACUACGUG
rnacentral:rRNA from 1 species